CUGGUACAUACUGCAAUAUGAUGGCACAUCCCGCUGUGACACCAGUGGUGCAAGUGUCUUUUUUAAUCAAGAAAAUUCCUAGAGCUAACCAAUUCAUAUAGUUGAAACAUAGGGGAUCUGGACACAUUUGGACAGGAUGCUAAUCUUAGCCCACUUCGCAUUGCUGCUUAUUUGGGGAAGCCAAGUUAAAAUAAAUUCCUCAACUUUUUUACUUGACGUGUUUUCAGUUUCUGGCAAAAAGAUGAUAAUCAAAUGUCCUCAAGCUAUAUAUUUAUAUCCACGGCCUACUAACUGAAGAAUUGUUGCCUUAAUUUAUGCCCUUUUCAUUCAAUUCAGUAACCUGUACCGACCUGCAGAAACAGCAUGAAGUCAUCCAUGCAGCAGUUGGAGAACCUUUAGUGUUGAACUGCAACUACAACUGCUCCUCUGGAUUUGUCCGUGGACACUGGGUCAAACUCCCAGACUGUCCUCAUUGUCCUAGGCCAAGGGAAACAAAAAAUGUCACAAAGAAUGGUGACCUCUGCACACUACCAUUGUAUUUUCCACAUCUGUCCAGGGAAGAUUUUCAGUACAACUAUACCUGCUUUUCUGAAGAUCAUGAAAGUGAACAGUUCCCAUGCAAGAUAGUGUCUGGUAUCACUGCAGGCACAAGCUCGACCUAGUGCCCCGGACACAACGGACACUACUGAUGAAUCGCUGACAGCGUUGGGUAACCAUGAGGACUCAAUAAUAGAUCACGAGAAAUUCACAGGCGUCAAGGUGUUGGCAACAGUGACAGUUAUUGUGGCUGCGGUGUUGGCAGCCGUGGCUGUCUCCUUAUGCAUGAGCCGCAGUCGAUAUAGCAAAGGAAAACCUGCUGUUAUCUGUACAGGGUAUGUUUUUUUUCUUCAAUGUGGUAUGUUUGCUAAGGCAUUUUAACACACUUUUCAUUGGCAAUUAGUAUGCGGACUCCAUAUGUGGAAUUUGUUUAUUGGUCUUUUAUCAGCACAACAUCAAGAGAAGGAUCAGAUGCAUGCUCAACCAAUUGUGAGAGGGUGGCACUGCGAAUAACUCCGGCUGAUUGCCAGAGUGAUCAUGAGGUUCCUUACACUGACAUUAUGAUUACUAUGCGAGGGGCCAGCACACCAGAGCUCACACAGAUCUCCUACCUAGCUCCGGGGGACCAUAGAGAGAGGUGGAGAGAAGAGGCAGGCCCUGGCCCCAGCACCGGCCCUGAAGCUAGAUCCCACCUGCAGGCCUCCCGCUCAGCUGACAGACUGCAUGUUCAGCCCCUAGAAUUUUCAAGGAAGAUGAGCAAAACUCUGAGUAUGCUGGUAUCACCUACUCUUAACCAGUGGGGAUGGAGAAAGGGUAAAAGAGUGAACAAGAGAGAGCAAGUGAGACAUGACCAUCACUGUACUCAUGUUAAUAUAAUAUUCCC
ensembl:lncRNA